ACUGGCAAAUCCGAAACUGAGCCAUCCCAGAUUGCAGAGUUGCAGACUAAAAUUUAGAUAGCGAACGACACAUGAGUUCAUUUUUAAUUUUUGAGAAAAUACUAGAAAUCAUAGAGACAAUCUAAAAAUAAAUAGUUUGUGCACUUCAAACGGACGUUCUACUAUUUUGGCAGGUGUUGAAAGCUGAGAAUGGAAAAUUUUUUAAUCUGCUCGGAAAUAAAGCGAAUCCGGAAUUGGCUUUACCCCAUCACGAUGGAUCGAUCUUUCCUAACCAUCGCCGUAAUAUUCCAAAAAGGAAAAUUCGGAAUGGAUACCAAAAAAUUUUUCUCCCCUGCAGUUUGCUCCAAUUUUCGAAUCAGACGAACUUCCUAUACGGUUACCUGGCAGUUGAUCUACAACAACGGGGAACUCCCUGUCAACUUCCAACAGCGUCCGGAAUAUAGGGAGGACUUACAAUUUUUAAAAGGGUUGGCUAUAGGAGCAGCGCAUCAUCCAUCAAAAAAACACAUGUGGCAACAACAUCCUGCGAAUAUCCUUUUAAUUAUUCCUGCGGCGAUUCAGUAUAAGAAGACUGAUGCUCCACAACACGACGGCGCUGGCUACAUUGUGAAUGAGUGAUGAUCCCUGUGCGAUCAAUAAUAGUCCGCAUACUGCUUCUCACUACUGCGAAACAUGAAUGGGUUGCAACCGCGCACACUGAGAACGUCUAAUGAAGCCAUUUUAUUCCAUUGAAAAGCCAGCAACCAAAUUAUACAAGCGGUUUCAAACUUAAUCAAACUUUCAGCGGGAUUAGCCGGAAGGCGAAAUCCUGGUUAUACCAAAUGCAUCAGGAAAAAAUGUACAGAGAAAACAAUUAAAAAUUCCAUCUCAUCGGUCAUCUCGGGCCUACGUCACACAGCUGGCCAGACACAGACCAGCGGAGGACUUCACUCAAUCUUGGCUAAGAUAAGCAGUUAGCAACGGAAUUCAACAUGUUGGAGCGUGAACUUCACGAUUUUUGCCGACCUUCACCUUUCGGUUUUUUUCCUUGCCCAAAAGCCAAAAACACGGAACGCAAAAAAAUGACGACAUUUGUACAUUUCCAGACUAUUUUACACAAAAACAGUUUUAUUGUUGCACGUAUCGAUCUUAUCCGAGCGAUGCAGCGAUACAGCCCGACAAAAGAAAAAAAAAGUACAUGUCAAAAGUUCUGAUUGAUAUGAUCCAAUAUAUUUCAUACAGGUAUGUUGUUCCUAGUGUGUUCAGUUUUAUAGUUAUAUUGUCGAUGAGUCACUGUUAAAUUUCAUCUUUCUAGCACAGCAUCUUGGUGCAAAUUCUUCACACAAUCUCCCAGCAAGGGAUCUAUUUCUGUAUGUUUUUGUGAAUUUUUGAAAUGUCCCUUUAGAUAUUCUCAGGGUCCAAAA